AAGACUCAGGAGUGUGAGAAUAGACCUCAGCAUCUUUCCCUUGUAAACCCUCAGAAAAUACAUGACCUCUUCUGCAGGUGUAACCAUCAGUUAUUUUCAAACAUAUUAUUACUAGAAUAGAAUAACUCUACCACACUUCCUACAUAUCCCUCUUCCACCAACAAGUAAAUUCCAUGUUUGUAGGGUUGCCAGAUAAAUUACAAAACAUCAAUUAGUUUAAAUGUCAGAUAAAUAAGAAAUCAUUUUUUAUCUGAAAUUCAAAUUUAACUGAAUGUCCUAUAUUUUUUACUUGCUAUAGCUGCAUGCUGGGUACUAAAGGGCGCAGAGCCUGAUAUCAGGAAGAGAUUUAGAUCUGGGAUCAAAUCUGAAUUCCUGGAUGUAAUAUGGAAGCAACUUUGAGCAAGUUACUUAAUUCUCACUGAGCUUCAAUUUUCUCAUCUGUAAACAAACUACUUCACAGAGUGGCUAUGAAGCUCUAUAAGGUAAGCUUUGGGAGAGCACUUAGCACAGUGCCAGAGGGAUGGAUAAAUAGGAGAUUUGCAAAAAACAUUAGUCUGCCUUCCAUCCCUUUUGAUGCAUCAGGUCUGAUCUCUGGCUGAGAUGCUGAAAGCCAUUUUUGUCCAGGAUAAUUAGAAUUAACCUUAAAGGUGGGCACCUGGGUGGCUCAGUUAAGCGUCUGCCUUCAGCUCCAUCCUGCAUCCUCCAUCCAUGUCUGGCUCCCUGCUCACCCGGGAGCCUGCUUCUUCUUCUCCCUCUGCCACUCCCUCUGCUUGUUCUCUCUCUCAAUCUCUCUCUCUGUCAAGUCAAUAAAUAAAAUCUUUAUUUUUUUAAUGAUGGUUAAUUGUCUGUCAAACUCAAAGUUUUCUUUUUUUAAUAUUUUAUUUAUUUAUUCAUGAGAGACAGAGAGAGACAGAGACAGAGACAUAGGCUGAGAGAGGAGCAGGCUCCACGCAGGGAACCUGAUGUGGGACUCUAUCCCGGGAGUCCAGGAUCAUGCCCUGGGCUGAAGGCAGGCGCUAAACCACUGAGCCACCCCAGCAUCUCAAUAAAUAAAAUCUUUUAAAAAAAAUAAUUAGCCCUAAAGGUAAUUGAAUUAAAGACAUAAAAUAUUUAAACAUCACAUUCCCCCAUAUCAAUUAUCUAUUGUCACAAUAAUGCUGUAUAUUCACAGGUAACUGUGAAACUUCAGUGGCAUUCUACAGUAACAUCUUUUCUUGCUUAUAAGCCCAGAGGUUGGCUCAGCAAUUGUGCUGAUAUAAGCUGAACUAGUUGGGCUCACUUAUACAUCUGUGGUCAGCUCUUAGGUUGGCUGGGGACUGGCUGGUCUAGGAUCACCUCAGCUAGGAUUACUUGUUCUGUGCUCCCUGGUCCUCCAAUAGGCUGCCUUAGGCCUACUCUUAAGACUAGGAUAAGGGUUGGAGAGAAGAAGCAGAAAUAUCCAAGUGCUUUUGUAAGACCAUUUGUCCUAUUGGCUAAAGCAAAGCACAUGGCCAAGGUCAGAUCAGGUCAGAAGAGCACUACCAAAAGUAUAAAUAUAUAGAGGAAUGAAACAAUGGGACCAUUAGUGUGAUAAAUCUACAACACCCCAAUACAACACACCAACACCCCCAAUAGAAUUUGUAGGGUGAAAUUUUAAAUUUAAGAAGUUAAUAAAUGAAAGCAUGAAUAAUGUAGUAGACACCUAUUGAGGGGCCUGCCCUGUCCCUCAUCCCUGAGAGCUUCCCAGCCCACCCAUAGGAGUGGGUUCCUGCCAUGUGAUCCUACAACCUGGUGUUGGCUGACCAACCACAGGGGGAACCAAUGACCCAAGCUGACCGAGUCACUUUCUCCUUUUGGAAUCUGGGAAUGGAACCAAGAAAAUUGAGUCAGAAUCUGUAUGUGAUGGCACCUGCAACAUGUAAUCCUAGGCACCUGGGGAAGCUGUGUUUUGCUGCAUGAACUAAGGAGCAGAAAACACAGCCAGGCUCUUAGCCACUAGAGAAAGCCAAACAAAGUCAAUGCUGUAUUAGUUUCCUAUUGAUGCAGUAACAAAUUACUACAAACUUAGUGGCUUAAAACAAGCCAAUUUAUUAUUUUACAAUUCUGGAGUUCAGAAGUCUUUUAGACUUCUGGGUUGGCAGGGCUGCAUUCUCUGUGGAGGCUCUCAGGGGAAAUCCUACUUUCUUGCCUUUUCCAUCUUCUGGAGGCUGUCUGCAUACCUUGGCUUAUGGUUGCAUCACUAUAGCCUCUGUUCCCAUUGCUACAUCUCCUCUUCUGACUCUCUCCUAUCUCUUCCUGAAGGACCCUUGUGAUUACACUGGGUUCACCCUGAUAAUCCAGGAUGAUCUCCCCAUCUCAAGGUCUUUUACUUCAUCCUUUCAGCAGAGUCCUUCUUGCCAUAUAAAGUAGCAUUUUCACACUUCAGAGUUCCAGAGAUUAAGACACCUUGGGGGUCAUUAUCCUACCCACCGCAAAAGUUCAUGAGGAACAGAGAUGAAAGGUAGGGUGCCUGGGUGGCUCAGUCAGUUAAGCGUCUGCCUUCAGCUCAAGCCAUACCCCAGGCUGGGCUCCCUGUCAUUGGGGAGUCUGCUUCUCCCUCUGCCUCUGCUGCUCCCCCUGCUUGUGCUCUCUCUCUCCCUCUCUCUCUCUCUUUCUCUCUCUCAAAUAAAUAAAAUCUUUUAAAAAGAGAGAGAGAGAUGAAAGUUAAGGAAAAGGCUUCAAGAGCCUUCUGCUUCUUGAUCUGGUCAGGGCAUUCCUCCAUUCAUGCCCUUGGUUGCCAUGACAUACUCUCAUAUCCUUAUGAGAAGUCUUUUGGGUGAUGGCUGCUCAGACUGCUCUGUUGAGAAAAGCUCUGAAGGCUUACUGGAAUGCAUGAUCAUCAAUGAUGUCUGACAUCAAUGUGCCACAAAUUCACUUACUCUAGAUUAGAAAAGGUAGAACUAGCAUGGUUGAGUGUAAAGAAUCAUGUUUUCUUAUCAAAAUGGGGCUUAAACUAUGAAAAUUUAAAUCCAGGUCAAUGAUAGCUGAACCUGAAUUAAGGGAUAUCCCCUGAGGAGACUGCACAUGUAGUAUAUCCCUUGGAGGUUGUGGGUGUGCUGCAUAUUACCACGUACCAGAUCUUAAA
rnacentral:lncRNA from 1 species